rnacentral:rRNA from 1 species
GACGAACGCUGGCGGCGUGCUUAACACAUGCAAGUCGAACGGAAAGGCCCUGUUUCCGUGGGGUGCUGGAGUGGCGAACGGGUCAAAAACACGAGAGAAACCUGCCCUAGCUUCUCGGAACACUUCAGGAAGCUGGGGAUAAUAGCGGUAAUGAGCGCCUGCUGCGUGGGGGGGGGCGGAAGGUUUCGGCGGUUGGGGAUGUACUCGCGGCUUAGCGGCUUGUUGGUGGGGUAGUGGCUUACCAAGGCUCUGACGGGUAGCGGGCCUGAGAGGUUGACCGGCCACAUUGGGACUGAGAUACGGCCCAGACUCCUACGGGAGGCAGCAGUGGGGAAUAUUGCACAAUGGGCGGAAGCCUGAUGCAGCAACGCCGCGUGCGGGAUGACGGCCUUCGGGUUGUAACCCGCUUUCGCCUGUGACGAAGCGUGAGUGACGGUAAUGGGUAAAGAAGCACCGGCUAACUACGUG